rnacentral:rRNA from 1 species
UACGUAGGGGGCUAGCGUUGUCCGGAUUUAUUGGGCGUAAAGAGCGUGUAGGCGGCCAGGUAGGUCUGCUGUGAAAACUCGAGGCUCAACCUCGAGACGUCGGCGGAAACCAUCUGGCUAGAGUCCGGAAGGGGAGAGUGGAAUUCCUGGUGUAGCGGUGAAAUGCGCAGAUAUCAGGAAGAACACCCGUGGCGAAGGCGGCUCUCUGGGACGGUACUGACGCUGAGACGCGAAAGCGUGGGGAGCGAACAGG